AUCCAGCUGACGAGUUCCAAACAGGACGAUACGCGCGUCCUGGAU
rfam:Schistosoma curassoni strain Dakar, Senegal genome assembly, scaffold: SCTD_contig0000288